rnacentral:rRNA from 1 species
GAUGAACGCUGGCGGCGUGCCUAAUACAUGCAAGUCGAGCGAACGGACGAGAAGCUUGCUUCUCUGAUGUUAGCGGCGGACGGGUGAGUAACACGUGGAUAACCUACCUAUAAGACUGGGAUAACUUCGGGAAACCGGAGCUAAUACCGGAUAAUAUUUUGAACCGCAUGGUUCAAAAGUGAAAGACGGUCUUGCUGUCACUUAUAGAUGGAUCCGCGCUGCAUUAGCUAGUUGGUAAGGUAACGGCUUACCAAGGCAACGAUGCGUAGCCGACCUGAGAGAGUGAUCGGCCACACUGGAACUGAGACACGGUCCAGACUCCUACGGGAGGCAGCAGUAGGGAAUCUUCCGCAAUGGGCGAAAGCCUGACGGAGCAACGCCGCGUGAGUGAUGAAGGUCUUCGGAUCGUAAAACUCUGUUAUUAGGGAAGAACAUAUGUGUAAGUAACUGUGCACAUCUUGACGGUACCUAAUCAGAAAGCCACGGCUAACUACGUG